CCAAGGAGUCUAACAUGUGCGCGAGUCGUGGGGUUUUUACGAAACCUAAAGGCACAAUGAAAGUGAAGGCAGCUUCGGGUUUGCCUAGGUGGGAUCUUUCCCCUCUCGCAGGAGGAAGCGCACCACCAGCCCGCCUCAUUCGCACCGUCGGCGAGGCGGAGCAAGAGCGUACACGUUGGGACCCGAAAGAUGGUGAACUAUGCUUGAGUAGGACGAAGUCAGAGGAAACUCUGAUGGAGGUCCGUAGCGAUUCUGACGUGCAAAUCGAUCGUCAAACUUGAGUAUAGGGGCGAAAGACUAAUCGAACCAUCUA
rnacentral:rRNA from 1 species